rnacentral:misc_RNA from 1 species
AAGUCGUAACAAGGUAACCGUAGGUGAACCUGCGGUUGGAUCAUUACAAAUUCUUUCAAUUGUUCUUUUCGCGUGCCAGGAAACUGCUGCGAUCUGAACAAAUGAAGAAACUAAAUGUGCACCUGUAUUUGUACGUUGGCGGUUGUUCAGUGCUUUGUGCUGAACUUGCAUUAAAUUGCAAAGGCCGUCAAUAGUGUUUUUACCAAAACGCUUUAAAAAUAUAUUCAGCUUUUCAGCUAUUUUAAUUUUUUUUUUUUAAACUUAUUCUCUUGAAAACCAAGAACAACUAUUAACAAUGGAUCUCUUGGCUCUC